rnacentral:lncRNA from 1 species
CUACAGAGUGGAUCUAGGUCCAGGUACAGUCUCAGAACCACACUGCAAAACUAGCUUAGUCAGGUAGCUGCUGUAUCUGCUGCUUCCACUGUGAACUCAAAAACCACAUUGCCUGUGCUGCAGGCCGGAAAGCUGCUGAACCAGGAAGCUGUGCUGAUGCUGCUGACUGCCCCUGAGGUUAGAGAUUGACUAGACAUAGUGCCACUGUCAUCCCUGCUGGAGAAGGUCCAAAGCACCUCCACCUCUGUGCUUCCAGAGGGGCAGUGUGGUGGCCACUUCAAAUGCUCAGGCUGUACGAUGCACUAGAGCAUCUACCUGGGCAAGGGAUAUGCUGUAUGACACUCUCCUGAUGCUGGGCAGUGGCUGUGAGCCAAAGCACCCAGGCAGCCCUGCCAUCAGAAGGGUAAACCACGGACACCUGAUGCCUUCCUGAAGGAAGAGCACUACGCCUGCCAAACCAUCAAGCGUUGAUGCUCCAGCGCCUUCUACCCAUGGUUCUCCAGCCUCAGCAGUAGAGAGAGAAAUUGAUGACCCUGUCAUUGUAGCAUCCCCAUCACCCAGCAAUUAAUUUUAGUUCAAUGCUUCAAACGCUCUUCAGGCGCAAUGUGCGUUCAGCUGUGUCAGCUAAUGCAAAUGGGGGAUCUCAGAAGUCUUAAUGAAGUAACUAUCCCUGAACACUGGGAUCAAUACUCAGAAUCCAGCCGUCAAAUCAACACCAAGCCGCCUCCUGGAACAGAUUGUUAAGCUGAUGCGAGUCUGGGCUCUGCCUCACCACUUGUCUCAGAGACAGAGUCUUGCUCUGUCACCUAGGCUGGAGUGCAGUGGUGCCAUCACAGCUCACUGCAGCCUUGACCUCCCCGUGCUCAAGUGAUCCUCACACCUCAGCCUCCCGAGUAGCCGGGAUCACAAGUUAAACAAACACAGUUCUUUACAUCAAUGCUUCCGUCCCUGGCCAUCUGGUCUCCUGUCCCCUCCAGAACCAAAACCAUGGGCUGUGCUGCAGCAAAAUGAGGAUGUACUCAGUGCACUGAGGCCCAUGUACCAUGAGAGAUGGCGA